CGUCGGGCAAGGAUAACCACUCAAUGCAAAAAACUGCAGCAGCAACUCAUUCAUUAUUGAUUGAUUAACUUAGUCAUUUCAAAAAAUUCAAAUAAUAUGCUCACCUCAAUUGCUGCACUAGCAGGGCCAAAGUAGACAGUUCUUCCAGAAGACAAAAGACAUAAAGAAUGAAAUAGACUGAAAACUUCAGUGCUAGGUUGAUGAAUUGAGGCAAUAAUUGUUCUCCCCUGACAUUGGCUUGCAAUUGUUUUCAUGACAUAAUAAGACGCGGCGCUAUCAAGUCCACUAGUUGGUUCAUCAAGAAAGAGAAGUUUUGGGCGCGUUAAAAUCUCUAAGCAUAUACUGACUCUCCUUUUUUGUCCUCCGCUAAUUCCUUUUCCAAUCCAUCCUCCAAUUCUUGUUUCCAUUGCAUCCUGCAAUCCCAUUUCCUUCAUAGUCAUGUCUGCUAUUUGUUUUUUCUCUGAUUUUGGCAUGGAAUUUGGGAGUUGGAGUUCAGCAGAGUAGUAUACAGCUUCUUUUACUGUGAGAGUUGCCAUUAGAGUAUCUUCUUGAGUCACAUAGGCCUGAUUGUAUCAAAUUAUAGUAAUAAUGUUACUACAAACGGAUGUGGCACUGUAUAUAUAUAAUUAAUGAGUAACAAUUUGCUCCUCUUUUUACAAAGCUAAAUUUGUUUUUUGCGUUCUAGUAAAUUCCAGGAUUAAUUAUGUCUCAAAUACUCUAACCUACAAAAGAAAAUCUGAUUUCUUUUCUCGAGCAGAAAGAUCAAAAUAUUUUGUGCUGUAGCCUGUUUUGAGCUGAUAUACUCAUUAAAAAAAAUUAAUUUUAUUUAUUUGUGGGGUUUAUAUUUAUAUGGCAUAAAACAAAUAUUUUAUUUUGCCAUAUUAGAUUUUUUGGUGUAAAAUUUAAUUGAGUGAUUUUAUUGAUAUAAAAAUCAAAGUUAAGUGAUUUUAUUGAUACAAAACAAAGUUUAAUGAUUUGCUAGAUAAAUUCUCAAAAUUGAGUGAUCUUUACUGAUAUUAACUCUAAAUGUUACUUACAUAUAUACUUUUGCCGUUAUAUAAAUUACCUAGAUAAACCUUUAUUCAUCUAUUGAAAGUGGAAAAGUAUAUUUUUAAUUUAUUUUUUAUUACAAAAAUAAAAUUCAUCUAGGUAUAUAUUUGAUCUUUUCACAAUUUUAGGAGGUAUUUUUUUAUUCUGUUCAAACAUUUUUUUUUUUUGUCUUCUUUAAUUUAACAAAUAAUUUAAGUUUAUUAUUUUGAUGUUCAAAUUUAUAUUUCACUCAUCUUCUUGUAAAAUAUAUCAUAAAUGCUCUAACUUUUCUAUAGAUACAAAAAAUAAAUUACAAUAUAUCCACACAAAAAACUAGUCUUAAUUUUUUUUCUUACUUUUUUAUUUGUUUCUUUUUUUUUUCUUUUUCCAUUCACACUUCUUCUUUUUUUCUUCAUAUUUUUACAUUAAAAAUGAAAUAAAAUUAAGAAAAUCAAAUAACGACAAAAAAAAAAAAGAUCUAUAAAGGAGAUAUUUACAAAAAUAAAAUAAUUUAAAAUUAAUUUUUUCACUACCUUUCACUAGACGAAAAGGUAUAUCCGGGUCACUUAUGUUACGGUAAAUGUACAUCUGGGUCAUUUGUGUAACGGAACCAUAUGCAAAACCAUCUUUAUUAUAACGAGAGAUAUAUCAAUUCUAAAUCACAAAGUUGAGAGACAUAUCAAACCCUCUCCCCUUUAUACUUUCUUAAUUGCCUCUAUUUUAUCGAAGAAGCCAUGUACAUGUUUAUAACAUACAUGUUCCUAAAUUCAAAAUCCAUGCACAUUUUUCUUUUGAAUAUUGUAUCACAAAGGAGUAAUACAUACUUAUCAUCGUGUUAUAUUAGAGCAAUAAUUAUGUUCCAAGCUAAGUAAUUAAUUGAUUCUUAAAUUUUACUCACAGAGGUUCCAUAAGCCAGUGUUUGUUUGCGACCAUUGAUUAUAAUAUCUCCACUCUGCCUUGUGCUCGAUCCCAAUCUCCCUAAUAACAUAAAUAAAUAGCUAAUCAAAAUAGUUUGCUUGGGUGGGGUUGUUUCUGGAGUUUAACUUCUAUAUACAGACAUUAUUAAAAGUUUUUUUUAAUGUUUUGGUCGAGUAGUAUAUAUUAAAUCUAGGUGGUGAAAUAUAUAUAUACCGGCAAUUGUGUCGAGAAGUGUAGAUUUGCCACAGCCAGAAGGGCCCAUGAUAGCCAAGAGCUCACCAGGCCUUGCAUAGCCUGUUAAACCUUUAAGAAUGGCUUUGUUACCAUCUUUCAAGCUUGAAGCCGUCACCCACAAAUCUUCCCACGUCAAAAAAACCUCUCCAUUUUGUGGAACAAUUUCAGACAUCUUGAUUUAAGGAUGUUUUAAAAGUUAUUUAUGUUCUGGUAGUGAGACCACUGAUUAUUAGUAUAUAUAAUAAGCAAUCAAGUCCUUUCAUUUUCAGAUUUAAUUUCCCUUUAUACAGGUUUGUUGUGAGUUUGUCUUCUUUAAUAAAUGAUUGUACGUAUUGACUAUAUUGACCCAUGAAUUAGGUUUAAUAGUAUUGAAUUAGUUUGGGUUAGAGAUUUAUAGCCUGUUUGAUAUUGUUGUUGGGAGCUUCACUUAUUUUGAGUAAAAAAAAUAAUAUUUUUAUUAAAAAAUUAACUGUUUGGCAAACCUGCAAAACUCUUUUUAAAUUGAAGCAAACGUAGUUUUUCUACUAUUAGAAAGAAGCUAAAAGAUUCUACUUCGUAAAAAAAGUAAAAGGAGAAAAUUAUUAUUUUUCAAGACUAUAUAUAUAUACACCAACCAAUAUAUCUCUUGUUAAUUAAUUAACAUAUCUCAUCAUUUCAAAAAAAAAAAAAAAUAUCUCAUAUGUUUGGUUAAGUUUCAUUUAAUAAUUUUAUUUUUUGUUUUUAAAUAAUAAGUUUUAUAUUUUGUUUUAGUUUAUGUAUUAUUAUUUUAUUUAUUAUUUUACGUAUUGUUUUACAGAAUUAGAAAAAAAGGUAAGAACAAUGUUUUUGCAAGAUUAGAAAGAAGAAAAAAAAAUAACAAUUGACCAUCUCCAACCGCUCUCUAUUUUACUCUCCAUUUUCUAUAUUUGGAGAGUAAAAUAGAGAAUUCCCUCUCCAACCACUCUCUAUUUCACCCUCUAGUCUUCAAUUAUAAAGAGGUGAAUAGAAGUUCUUCAAAUUUGGAGAACUAUUAUUCACACUCUCUAUUUUACUUUUUGACUAUAAUAAUAUUAUUUCUAUUAUACAACAUUUGUAAUUAAUAUAUUAUUAAUCAUAUAAGUCCAUUAAUUAAAUCUCUAAUAUUCGUAAUUAUUUUUAAAUGUAAUAUAACAUUUUUAAAAAUAUAUUAUUUAAUAUAUACUACUUUCGUCCCAAAUUAAUAAUACUUUAAAUUUUUUUUAAAAUUUUUUUGUCACUUUAAGUGAUAUAAUUUUAUAUUAUUAUUAAUUUUCACUAUGAAGAAUAUACAAAAUUAAAAUGAUUAAAUUUUAAUUUAAAAAUAUAAUACAUAACAUAAUAAUUUAAAUACAAUAAAACAAUACAUAACAUGAUAAUUUUAAAAAUCACAACAAUAAUUUAGUAAUCCGAUAGAUUAUUUUUUAGAUUUACCAAUAGAUGGGGAAAAAAUAAGUGGAUGAUCCAAAGAAUUGUUGCGGUUGUGCUUGUUGAUUUUUUUUUUCAAUUAUUCGUAGUUGUUCUUUAGAAAUUUAGAAUAAAAUAUAAUUUUAUAUUAAAUAAAAAAUUUGAAAAAAUAAAAUUUUGUAUUACGUGAAAAUUAUAUAGUGUAUUUAUUUAGAAGAAAGAAAAGAUUUAUAUUACGAAAUAAGAAAAUAAAAGUGAAAUAGAAAUAAUAAUAUAAUAUUGAGGAGAGAGAAAAAUAUUCUUUUUAGAAAGUAAAAUAAAGAAUUUAGUUGGAGUUGGUUAUCUGAAAAAAUAAGAGAGGGUAGGGUUGGAGAUGCAAAGAUUUCAACCCUCCAAAAAAAUGUAUAAUAUUGGUUGAAAAUUUGAAUAUGAAUAUUUAAUUUAAUUUUUUUGUAAGAGAUGUUUAAACUAGUUUCUCUCUAUAAAAUAAUUUUAAUAUUAAAGUACAUUAAUACUUGACCUUAUCGUAAUUUAACUCUCAAAAACAUUUUUUGAAAAAGAUUAGUCUAACACAAUUUACUUAUAAAAAUCACUUUUCAAAUAAAUUAGUCAAACACGACUUGUUUUUUUUUUUUUUUCAAAAGCACUUUAAAAAAAAACUAUUCUAAUUUUUUUUUCUAAAAGUAAUUAAUUUUUAACAAUAAUGCCAAACAUACUCUUGUAUUGAUUGUCAAUAGUAUUCUUACGCCUUAUAUGUAGCUCUGUUUUUUCUUUUAAACAAAUAAAAAUAAGGUACUUUGUUUGCGGCUUUGCGCAACCAAGACAUAUUUAACAAAUCUCCAAUUAACCAUCAACUAACUUCACUGCAACUAAUUAAUUUAACUUUUUAAAUUCAUUUACACCCUAACUUUGCUUUUAAAAGUCAAAAUUUCCCAUAAAUUUUUUAACUAAUAGAAUUUUCCACCGUUAUCCUCAUUGACUUUUUUAUAUUACUAUUCUAUCCUUACAUUAUCAUUCUUUAUUUUAUUUUUUAUUUUUUUAAUUCUUUAAAAUGAUGAUAUUUUUCGUCUUUUUAAUCUGCGUAACAAUUUUUUUAAUAGAAGAAAUAAUAUUAUUUUAUAGACGAAAAGGUCAAAAAUUUUAAUUGAUCAUAUAAGUUAAUGACAUAUUAUAAUGAAAUAAAUGAAUAGAAUAAAAGAAUAAUUUUUUUAUUAAUAAUAAUUAAUUAUUUUGUAUCUAUUUAUUUUUCUAAAAAAGGUAAUAAUAACUUUUUGAACAUAUUUCAAUGCAUGUAAUAUAAAUAAAUUCUAAAAGAUCAUCUAUUUAUGUUAAAUAAAUUUUAAACCAUAAUAUAAAAUAUAUUCUAUUAAGAUAAUCGAAAUUGCAUUACUAACAAGUUUUAAUCUCCUAAAUAAAUUUUAAACCAUAAUUCUAUAAGCGAAGUAAGACUUAAAUAGUUAAAUAUAUACCUGCAUACAUUAAGGUAAUACUAAAAUAAUAAUAAUAAAAGUUUAGCAUUAUAUUUUGUGAGGGGGAGUUUAAUUGAGGAUUAUAAUAAAUAAUUUUGACGCUUAAUUUAUUAGUGUGGAAGCAAUAAAUGGAAGGAAGAAACAAAAUAUUAAAAAGGCUAAAAACAUGUUAGUAAGGCGAGCAAUAAAAGCAUUUGAACAUUUAAAACACGUUGAUGUCUAUUAUAUUAGGGAAAAUUAAGGUCUGGUGUUUGAUGAGUCAUAUGUUGCUUUCAUGUUUACUAAAUAUCAGAUUCAAUGUCUGGCCUUUGUUGAGUCGUACGUCGCUUUAGGAGAUUACCAGGUGAGAAAUUAAUCUCUUUGAUUUCAUCCAUAUUUCACCAUUUGUUUUCAGAUUGAUAAAAAUAUCAGUCUUUUCUUAUUUGUUAUUUUCCCUAGCUCUUUGUCACCAUGUAAAUUAGAUCUUCUUUAGAAAACACACAAUCCCGCUACUUUUCUAUCAUUCUAUCAAUUUCAAUUUAUGUAGCACUGUUCAUCACUUCAUAAUGAGUUUUAUGAAAAAAUUUGUAGUUUUAAUGUGUGUGACUAUAAAAAAAAAAAAUUAUAUAAAAAAAAGUAAUUCAAAAUUAAAUAUUUAAAAUUUAUUAUUAACAAAUUAGCCGCCACAAGAAGACACAGGUUUAAAAUCAUAUGGAGGUGGAGUGUUUAACUAGAUUUCCGGUUCUCAACAACUAGCAAUAAUUAUCAGAUCCAAAUUCUUAAUCCUAGAAAUCAACCAUGGCUAGAUUUAAUUAGUAUUAAAAUACUCGUUUCUUUUACCCAUUGCUAGAUUUUAGUGUUCUAAGUUCUAAUAGUUAAUUAGUUUUUGUUAUGAAUAAUUAGGAUGGAGCAGUUGCUCCUUUCCAAUAUAAUGACAUUGUUGAGUUAAACGAAGACUGAUGGAGAAUAUUGAUUCUCCAUUUAUGCUGAUCUGAAGCUUUGAGGAGAAAUGAAGAAUGUUGUGAUUUGGGGAAAUGAAAAUUGAACUUCAUUUCAUGAAGAUGUAGUGUAUUUAUACAAACUCAACAAUAAGAAAGUUCUAGAAUCUAACUAACUAACAACAAAAAAUAACUAACUCAUCAACAAGAAUAAAAUGAAUAACAAACUUAACCAACUUAGUUCAUCACACUUAUUACACUAAUUGCCCUAGAAUAAACUUUAUCUUAACACCCCCCCCCCCUCAAGUUGAAAGUGAGUAGUUCACUACCAGCUUGUGUAGAAUGUUGGAGUGUUUAGCACUCGGCAGUGCCUUAAUCAGUACAUCAGCUAGCUGAUCAUUUGUUGAGAUGUGAUGGAGUGUGAUGAGUCCUUCUUGUAUUUUUUCUCUAAAAAAAUGACAGUCCACCUCUAUAUGCUUUGUUCUCUCAUGAAACACAGGGUUCUUUGAUAUGUGAAUAGUUGUCUGACUGACACAAAACACAGAUAUGGGCAAUUUACAUAGUAAAUUCAGCUCAAUUAGUAAUCUUUCUAGCCACACCAAUUCUCCAACAACAGCUCUAUACUCUGCUUCUGCUGAGGAUAAAGAUAUGGUCGUUUGUUUCUUAGACUUCCAGCUCACAGGACUGUCCCCCAUGAGCACAACAUAACCACUCACUGACUUUCUUGUAUCAAGGCAGGCUGCCCAGUCUGAGUCACAAUAUGCAGUGAUUGAGCAAUCUGCAUUAUUUGACAAAUGUAUCCCUAAACAAGGGUCAUUCUUGAGGUAUCUCAGAACAUGAUAAACAGCCUUGAGAUGUGGUUCUCUGGGAUUUUGGAGGAAUUGACUGAGAUGCUGGACACUGAAAGCUAUGUCCAUCCUUGUGUUGGUCAAAAAAUUCAGCUUACUUACUAAUUUUCUGUAGUAUGUGGGAUCUGUAAGCAAUGUACUUUCACCUGCCUUAAGUUUAACAGUGGACUCAAGAGGUGAUGACACAGGUAUGCAAUCUGAACAAUCAAACUCAUACUGUCACGCCCCGAGCCUACACCCUGGGCGGGACCGGCACUCGGAGACCAUUGCUGGCCCCAAGCGAACCCUUAGCCUGCCUUUCUUAACUCAACGGAAACUUAACUCAACAGUACAACUCAAUGCAAUGAAAAGUUAUAAAACAACCAACUGAUGCAUAAUAUGCCAAAAGGCAGCUUGAGUCUCAAAAUAGAAUAUUUACAUAUAUACAUAGAAGAGAGAGUCAAUACUAACUGACUGACUGUCUAUGAAGCCUCUAACAUACUGAGAUGGAUGUUGGGACAGACCCCGCAACAUCCUAACAACACAAACUAAAAGAACAAAAUAUCUGAGUCCUCCGGAAAGCAAUGAGGCUCACCACUGACUCUGGAGUGCUCAACUGGAUCAACGGCGUACUGGAUGCUGAUCCGAGGUACCUGUGUCUGCAUUGUCAUAAGAUGCAGGCCAACUGGCAUCAGUACAUGAAAUGUACGAGUAUGCGAGCUGGAAAGUUAAACCACAACUAAGCUUGAAAAGAGUACAAGAGAACACUUACAUUGGCUUUGUUCAAUUCAUGAAUAACUGAACUCAAUAUAUAAGGCAAUAAGACACAUGCAAUAUAAAUAGCUUGUAAAACUCUUAAAACAUGACGUAAAAAUCAUAUUUAUAAUAUCAUAAAAUACCAUGCUUCCUCUCAAGGUCUACUUGUGCAAUGUUUGAAUGAAGUCCCAUACCCCCCAUCCAUACUAAGCAGAACCCUCGAGGAACCAUGCUCUUUCUACUGUGGGAGCUUCUCUAACCGACAAACCACCACUAUGAAUAUGAGUGGUGAUACAACGUUUUACCUCACGUUGCCCGAGGACCGUCCUAUACCUUGCCGUGAUAUAGGAAGCUAAUGAUACAACGUUUUACCUCACGUUGCCCGAGGACCAUCCUAUACCUUGCCGUGAUAUAGGAAGCUAAUGAUACAACGUUUUACCUCACGUUGCCCGAGGACCAUCCUAUACCUUGCCGUGAUAUAGGAAGCUAAUGAUACAACGUUUUACCUCACGUUGCCCGAGGACCAUCCUAUACCUUGCCGUGAUAUAGGAAGCUAAUGAUACAACGUUUUACCUCACGUUGCCCUAGGACCAUCCUAUACCUGGUCUUGAUAUAGGAAGCUACUUUACUGAGUGGAUCCACUAGCUUAACUUUACGGGUUUAUCUAAAAAGUAUGACCCGUUAAUUCCCAUGUUGGCUACAUGGUUCUUAUGGAGAGUUGAGUUUAAUAUGAACUCGCGUCCCCAAAUCGGUGCUCGAUACUACUCCCAAAAUACUUUUAGCUCAUAAGUGUUUUAAACACAUCUUUCUUUAAAUGAGAUAAUUACUCAAAAUCUAGCCCAAAGGCUCACUUGGAAACGAUGUUCCUUUUUCUUGAAAACUAGCCCUAAGGCUCUUUUGGAAAUCAAAAUCCCUUUCUUACUCAAAUGUAAAAACAUUUAGAAACUUCUUUGGGAAUACAUAGUUCCCUAAUAGCUUUUGAGAAAUGAACUCAACUUAACUCUUGUCUUGACUUGAAACUUAAGAGUCUUUACUUAGUUUGCAACUUGAGCCUUAGAAUGAAGUAAAAACUUGCUUGAACUAACUUCAUAAUCACAUGUUAUGGAUGAGUUCUUGAUAUUUAAACGCACCUUGAAGUGUUGGGAACAACUAGGAAACAUAGGUACACUAUCAAGGAACAUGCAUGGGAAGGUAGGAAAUGAAAGGGAUCACUUGGUGUCCUUGGCGCUUUGCAAGGCGCGGAGCGCCAGCCCUAAAAAUUCAGAGGGUUCUUGCUGGCGCUCUGAUAGGCGCGGCGCCCCAAGAGGGAAAAUUCAGAACCCCUUUUGGGGCGCGCUGGUAGGCGUGACGCGCCAACCCCUCGCCCAGAAAACUCGACUUUCUCCCUCUUUUCUUUAACUCUAAACCACCCUUACUCCAAGGGCUUCAACCUCAAACACUAAGGAUCAUCAUAUCCCUCAACACACCAUAGAUUACAACUCAAAACACAACCAGAAACAAGUCCCAAAUCAACAAGAAUCUCAACAUCAAAAUCAACAACAAUACCAACACAACCCAACAACUUCAACAACAUAAUCAAUCCUUUCUCAAUAAAUAAAAAGGGGCUAGGUGUGUGGGGGGAAAAGGGAUCAACCCACACUAACUACUCACAUACCUUGAUAGGGAUCACCCCCGACGAAAAUCCACGAUGAUCUUGAUGAAUCUUGUUGAUCUCCUCUUUCUUCUCUUCUUCUUCUCCUUCUUCUCUCAUUCUUCUCUUCUUCUUCUCUUAUUCAUGAUCAAGCCCUAGCUUUCACUCUCUUAAAAUGGAACAAAAUGAUCCAUAUAUCAGCCUAACACAACAAUAUAUCCUCAAAAGAAAUAGCUAGGGAAAAGACCAAAAUGCCCUUAAAUUCCGGACGGAUUCCUUGUCAACUGCCCAACUUUCAAAGGGCAUAUCUCACUCACACGAACUCAGAAUUGAGCAAACUCGGUGGCGUUGAAAAUAUCAUUCCAAGGGCUAUGCAACCAUAACUGGAAAUACUUCUAACUCAUCAUGAGCUAGAAGUUACGACUAAUCAAAGUUGGCCAAAAACUCACCUUUUCCAUACUUGGCCAAAAUUUUCCAGAUUUUCAAAUCCUUUCCAAAAAUGAAAAUUUUCAAAUUCUAAGCCUCUUCUUAGUUAUUUCAAUUUGCCGGAUGUUACACAUACAGUAGGUCAAUAGUAAACUUUCUUUGAGAAAUUAUAACUCCUGAAUCUUUGUACAAAAUCUCCAAACCUAGGAAGUAUUGCAGUCUUCCCAAAUCCUUAAUCUUGAACUCAUUAUGGAGAGAACUCUUCAAAGAAGUAAUCUCUAUAAUAUCAGUACCAGUUAUAAUGACAUCAUCAACAUAGACAUCAACAAAGACUAAAGAACUUCCAAUUUUUCUAUAGAACAAAGAGUAAUCACUAGCAGAAUGAGAGUAGCCUCUUGAGUAUAAAAAUUGUGCCAACUUGUCAUACCAUUGUUUACUUGCUUGCUUCAGCCCAUACAAGGAAUUCUUGAGCUUACAAACCAUUCUUGUAUCAGUCACCAUAAGUCCAGGCGGUAUGUCCAUAUACACUUCCUCAUGGAGAUCUCCAUGAAGGAAGACAUUAUUCACAUUCAGUUGGUACAUGUCCCAGCCUUUCUUAACAGCCAGACUGAUUAGAAUCCUGAUUGUAGUCAUUUUAACUACUGGAGAAAAAGUCUCAUUGUAAUCAAUGUCAGCUUGUUGAGUGUAUCCCUUCACAACUAGUCUAGCUUUCAAUCUCUCUAUUGUGCCAUCAUCCUUGUGUUUAACUUUGUAAACCCACUUGCAUCCAAUUGCCUUCUUUCCUAUGGGCAGUUUAACAAGAUCCCAUGUCUCAUUAACAUGCAAUGCUUCAAAUUCUGAUGUCAUAGUUGUCUGCCAAGCAGGAUCAAGUGUUGCCUCUUCAUAUGAGCAUGGUUCAGUGUUAUGAAAAAGACCUUUAACACUGUGUUGACUAUCUUGGUUAAGACUUGUAAGAGAACAAUAAUGAGUGGCAGGUGUAAAGUUAAAUGAUGGGGUCGAGGAAGGCUGAGUAUGCAAAGAGGGUAUGGAAUAACUGUAUUAUUUCAAGUAGGUGGGGAUGAUAUGGGGCCUACUGGACCUUCUAAGGUUUAGUGUUUGGGUUUGAUGUUGUUCAGUGGUAUCAGGUAAGGCAUGUCCAGUUGAGCUGGGUUGUCUAUUUGUUGAAGGUGAAGUAGAAUCUAAUGAUUGUUCAAAAGUUGAUGAUGGAGAUGCUUGUGAAAGUAUAGAUGCAGACAAGUCAGUAUUAGUGACAGUAAAAUUAGUGUCAUCAUCAUCCAAAACAACAGCUUUGUUAAAAGUAUCACAAGUAGAGUUUGACAUGUUUGAAUUAGUAUUCAAAGUUCUUACUAUUGUGGAAAAACUAGGAUCAGUUUCAGACUUAGACAAGGCAAAAAGAAAGACAUUCUCAUGAAAAUUUACAUCCCUAGAAACAUGUAUCCUUUUGGUACUUAGAUCUAGGACUUUAUAGCCUUUUGUAUUGAAAGGAUAUCCAAUUAAAAUGUGAGGUGUGGAUCUUGGAUCAAAUUUGUCCUUAUGAGUCUUUAUAGUAGGGAAACAUAAACACCUAAAGGACCUAAGGUGAGAAUAAGUGGAAGGUUGGUGGUACAAUAUUUCAAAGGGUGUUUUGUUGUGGAGAACUAUAUUGGGAAGUCUAUUGAUUAAGUAAGUAGCUGUUAAAAUGCAUUCUCCCCAAUAUGUGAUGGAAAGUUUGGAUUGGUACAGAAGUGCUCUAGCAACCUCCAAAAGGUGUUUGUGUUUUCUUUUCACUACACCAUUUUAUUGUGGUGUGUAGGGACAAGUCUUUUGGUGUAUUAUUCCCUUUGCAUGAAAAUACAUGAAGGUUUCAUUAUUGGUGAACUCUGUACCAUUGUCAGUUCUUAUUGACUUGACAGUGGUUUUGAACUGAUUUUCAACAAGUGAUAUGAAGGAUUUUAUGGUUUGAAGAGUGUUGGUUUUGCAACGGAAGAGGUGAGUCCAUGUUGAUCUACUAAAGUCAUCAACUAUGGUCAAAAAGUACUUGUAAUUGUUGUGAGUUGAGGCAUGGUAUGGCCCCCAUAAAUCCAUGUGAAAGAGAUCAAAGGUAUUGGUGCUAGAGACAAUGGUCUUGGUUGGAAAAGGAAGUCUGGUUUGUCUAGCCAUAGGGCAUACAAUGCAUAUGAAGGGCUGUUUUGAUGAGAAGGUUAUGGGAAUGGUAGGAAUACCUUUCAUUUUUACAAAAGGAACAUGUCUUAGCCUAUUAUAUCACAAGUGAUCAACAUUGUUUCCAUUAGGCAAGCAUGUUGUGGCAGGGCCAUUCAAUUUAGAAGAGACAAUAUCAGAAACACAGGUAGGCAACACAUUAUUAUUGCCUAAACAAGUGGAUCUUACAUCUGUAGUCUUACAAGUGGUCAAACAAUAGUACAAUCAGAAAAACAAGGUAAAGAACUGGAAAUAAGUGUAGCAGAAGAAAUGGGAGUAGAACAUGCAAUGUGACACCUUGAGCACAUAUAGUAUAACCCAUUUUGUGCUCUACCAAUCUCCAGAGGGCUCUUCAUUGAAGGGCCCUGCAUGAAACAAGAACUGAUAUCAACUUGAAUUUAAAAUUAGGCACAAACAAUACUUUAUACAAAGUGAGUGAAGAAUUUAGAUGUAUAUCACCAAUUUCUGUCACAUUUACUUUAUAGCCAUUUGGAAGGGUAAUUAGGAAAGGACUGGGUAAAGGUCUGAGGUUUGUGAGUAAUGAUUUUGUGAAGGUCAUGUGAUGUGUCGCCCCUGAGUCUAUAAUCCAAGAGUCAAUAGAGAAUUUUAGGCAUUUACAUGACAAAUUUCCAAUAUCAUUAAUUGAAGAGGAGCAUGCUAAGUUACCUGCAAAGUUAACAGCUCUACUAUUCAAGUUGUUCCCAGAUUCCUUUGCAGUGUUACUUCAUCCUGGAAUCUGGAUGUGCUCUAGUAAAUUUACCAACUGAUGAAUUUUUUGUUGAGUUAGACUUUGUUCAUGCAUUUUCCCUUUUCAUUUGCCUACUUCAUGAUUCUUGUCACAUGUAUCUUCCAGAAACUCCUCAGAAAAAACAUUUGCAGUAGCUGCUAUUCCUGCAUUCUUUCCCUUAGUAAACUUGAAAUUAGGAGGAAAGUCAUGUAGCUUGUAACACUUUUCUUUGAUAUGACCAGUCUUCUUACAAUGGUUACAAAAGAGAUUAGACAUGUUAGGAGCCUUGUUGUUGCCCCCAUUAUUUCUAUUAGGAGCAUAGUUAGUCCUGAAAUUUGUGCUAGUACUGGCAGCAUUCACAUGAAAAGAAGUGGAGUCCAAAUUGAACCUGUUCUGAGGCUUCACCUCUCUUUGUUUCUCCUCCUGGACAAUAAUAGAAAAGGUUUGAGCCAUAGUGGGUAAUGGAUUCAUCAUCAAGAUGCUGCCUCUCACAAUGGUGUAAAUUUCAUUCAAUCCCAUCAGGAAUUGAAUAAGUCUCUUAUCCAACUCGGCUUUAUGCAUUUUCGAUUUACCAGUACAUGUGCGCAGACAUGUGCAUUGUGAAUUUGUGUCUAAUGUGUUAAUCUCCUUCCAUAACUUCUUAAUUCUAGUGUAAUACCCAGUAAUGUCCAAGUUCCCCUGACCAAGGUCAUUGAUUUCGCGCUGAAGUUGAUACAAUUUAGCUCCAUUAGUUUGAUCAUACUUGUCCUGUAAUUCAAUCCAAAGUUCUCUUGCAUUGUCUACGUAUUGCAGGCUAUUUCUGAGAUCUUUGGAUAGAGAAUUCAAAAUCCAGGAAGUGACCAUAUCAUCGCAUCUCUCCCACUGAGGAAAUUCGAUUGAAUCUGUAGAUGGUCUUUUCCCUUUCCCAUUGAUGAAACCUGUUUUGUUCUUUACAGAUAGGCCUCAAAGAAUAUCUCGUCUCCAUGAGCGAUAUCCAGAUCAAUCGAACAGGAUAGGGACGAGUGUAGACCCAGCAUUCUCAGAAAGAUGGACAUAGAAUACACUGGUUAGAUCCAGAGAAACAGGGACUGGAGGGUUGAUUGCCAUUUGAAGUUGUUUCCUGAUGACUGCUCUGUUCCAUUCUAUGUGAAAUUGAAUUACUGAAAGAAAAAGGGACGAAACUAAAAGGAUUUGAACUGCGGAGAGUGAAAGAGAACCGUCUCGACUCUGAUACCAUAUUGAGUUAAACGAAGACUGAUGGAGAAUAUUGAUUCUCCAUUUAUGCUGAUCUGAAGCUUUGAGGAAAAAUGAAGAAUGUUGUGAUUUGGGGAAAUGAAAACUGAACUUCAUUUCAUGAAGAUGUAGUGUAUUUAUACAGACUCAACAAUAAGAAGGUUCUGGAAUCUAACUAACUAACAACAAAAAUUAACUAACUCAUCAACAAGAAUAAAAUGAAUAACAGACUUAACUGACUUAGUUCAUCACACUUAUUACACUAAUUGCCCUUGAAUAAACUUUAUAUUAACAGACAUGAAUUACAUUGUGGUGCCUUUGCCUAUCAAUAAUUCAUAUUGGCGUUAAUUUUUGUGUGAAAAAAAUAUAAUAAUCUAAACACAUAGUUUAAUCACUAUUAAAAAAAUGAGAAAUUCUAAAUCCAUCCAAAACACUAGGGAAUUUCUCCCGAUUUUAGUAGUGAAUAAAUAUAUGGAUUUUUUUAAAAAAUAUACUGUCUAAAACAAGUCAUAGACAUUUGUGUCGUAACAAAUCAUCUUAUUGAAGAUAAAAUGAAUAGUUUAAAAUUAAAUAUUUUCGAAUUAAAAAAAAUGUCAUUGGUCUUCAAAUAAAAAGAGUAUUAUUGAAAAUAAACAUUUAGCAGUCAAAAAAAGACAAGUGAUAUAGUACUAGGAAUAAUUUGUGGUGGAGAAGGCAUGGCGCGCGGGUAUUAAUGUCAUCGAGGCAAGACUUUUUCUACUGUAUGUGACAUGAUGUAACUCGUACUAUUAAUAUUCUCUCUGUUUUUAAUUACUUGUUUACUUUUGAAUUGACACACCUAUUAAGAAAAUAAUAAUUGACAUAGUGAGUUUACCAUUUUAUCACUAUUAAUUAUGAAGUGGAUGAAUUAAAAACUUAAGAUUUUCAAGAAAUUGUACAUUUUUCAAAGUAAUUAAUUGAAGGUAUAAUAGAUAAAAAAAUAAUUGUCUUUUCUUGAUUUGUCAAAUUAGACAAAUAAAAAAAAAGUGAACAAAUAAUUAAGGACAAGGAAGUACGUUUUACGUAGUUAAUGCUAUUGUCCUUACUCGAGAUGGAUUUAAACGUGGUUAGUUUAAUUUGGUUAUAAGAAUUCAAAGAACCAUGUAUCACAUGCACUGUAUGUGAAUAAUUCUUAAAACGCAAAAGAAGUUUAUUUGAACUUGAUUUGCCACAGCCAUAAAUAUGAGACCUCCUACCCUACAAUGACAAACUUAAUGGAGCUCCAAUGUCAAUUAAGUGGACUUGUACGUAUAUCCAAAUUCAUUGAGAAAAGAAAUUAAGGUUCAAAUAAACCUUUCAAUGUUUUACUGGUUAAGGUGUACAAAAUCAAACCAAAAACCGAAUCAAAUCGUAAAUUGAGUCAAAUCGAGAAAAAAGACCCGACUAAUGGUUGGUUUGAUUUGGUUUGGUAUUGGAAAAAAAAAUCCGACAAUAUUUGGGUUGGUUUGGUUUUAACUAAAAAAAAACCAACUCGAGACCAAACCAAUCCAACAUUAUAUAUAUAAUUUUAAAAUUUUAUUUUAUACAUAAAAAUAUUUACUUUGAUAUAAUUUUUAAUUAUUUCUUAUACUUUUUCAUAGUUUUUAUCUUUUAAUAUAUUAUUAAUUCAAGUUUGAAACUUAGAAUUCUAAAUGGUUCAAUAAAGAUUAUAGUCCACAGAUAUUGGUAAUUAUAAUAAAGCUUAAAUCAAAAUUAAAUUAAUACUAAAGCAAAAAAAAUAAUCAAUUCAACAUUAAGAAUGACAAUAAUAUUGAAUCUUUGUUCUAUGGUUUUACAUUGGUUUAUUCAAAUACAUAAUCUAAUUUUAAUUUCCUUUAAUAUUUAGUCAUGUAACUAAUACUUAUUAAACUUAUUUUAGCAUGAUUUAGUACUUUUAAAUUAUGAUCAUUUUCAUUAUGACUUGUUAAUUUGCAAUAUUUGUUUUACGCGAUUUCAUUAUUAUUAUUNNNNNNNNNNNNNNNNNNNNNNNNNNNNNNNNNNNNNNNNNNNNNNNNNNNNNNNNNNNNNNNNNNNNNNNNNNNNNNNNNNNNNNNNNNNNNNNNNNNUUGGAUAUUUUAGUGUCAUUAAUCAUAUCAUAUUGUAUUAUAUUUUUAAGAAACAUCUUAGAUAGUUGUAUUUUGGUAGGACUAAAUAAAUAUUUGAAGUACAAGUAAAUUAUAUGUUUGUAUGAAUACUUUUCCGAAAAAAUCCGAAAAUUUGAAAAACCUGAGUUUUAUUGGUUUGGUUUGGUUUAUAGAUUUAAAAAUUCGACACAAAUGAUUUGGUUUGAUAUUUGAAAAACCCGAACCAACCCGGCCAUGUAUACCCCUAACUAUGGUUUAUGAUUGCUUUUUCUAGUUAAAACUGGAUCGGUCCUUGAUUUGCCAUGGUAGUAUUAUUCAACUCUGUAAUAUUGGUUUAUAAUUAUAGACAUUAAGAAGAGUCUCGAAAGUUAUUGUAUUGUAGUGUGUAGUGUUUUUGAUAUUUGUACUUGAAAAAAAUCUAGAUAUUCUAUAACAGACACGGUAGCUCUGCCCUGGUUUGUUGUGGUAGUGAGACAAAUCACAAGCUAGUAGUGCUUAUACAUGUAAUAAAGACUCAUAUAUAGGGUCUGAUUUUCUUGAUAAAGUUUGUUGUGAGUUUGUCUUACAUAUGCUGAUUUUCACCAUACGUUUCCAAAUCCAGGAAAAUAUCAGCCUUUACUUAUUUGUUGUUAUUACCCUCUUUGUCAACAUGUUAGAUUUUUAAUUUAUUUUGCUCUAUUUAGGAAAACACCAUCCACUACUAAUUUUGUUCUAUUCUCUCAAUGGCAGUUUAUAUUUUGUGAACCUAUGAGAAUGGACAUAUAAUUUUAAGAAAGAAAUGAAUAUUUUCGUUACUUUAUGUCUUUAAACAUGUCAUAUUAUAUAUAGUUAGAAAACUUUUAAAACUUAUGAUCUUAAUUAAACAUUAACGUCGUGUGACUAUAAAAACUUCUCAUUAAAGAUAAGAUGACAAAUUUACACCACAUUAUUUCUAAAUUUAGAACGAUUCAGUGUUUUAGAAAUGGACUGACAAGAAAUAGGUUCGCAUCAAUUGGAAGAGAGGAAUGCCUAUAAGUUACAAAAAAGAUAAGUGAUACAGCACUAUGGAGAAAAAAGAAAUGAAUAGGGUUAUUACUUUUAAACAACCCUAUUCUUGUUUAUUUUCUUUUAAAAUCAUGAUAAAUGAGUAGGAAAUAAAAAAAUUUAAUCUCAUUCUCACACACACACACAAUAUCACAGUAACCUAUCAUUAAUUUCAUUUCAAUAAUGAUGAAAAAAUUUCUUAUAAAAUAGAAAAUAUUUGUAUUUCUUAAACUUUUUCGAAUUGAAGUAAGAUAACUAUUUGAGAAAAUUUACUAGUAAAAAAAGUUGUGUUUAAAAAGAAAUAAAAUAAUAUAUUUUCCUAAUAUAGUUAUUUAGAAAAAGUGCAUUUUUGACCUCUUAAGUAACAAUAUAAACAUUUUUUUACCAAACUAUUGACGAAAUGGAUAUUUUUAGACCAAACUAUUAAUUGAGGGUAUUUUUGUUCAAUUAUGCAUAAUUUAAGAAGAUUUUUUUUUACCAUUUUCCUUAUAAAAAAAUAUUUUCACAUGCUCAAUUCAUAUACUCAGCAGUCAGCACCAUACAUAUCAAUUCCAUAAAUGAAUUUGCUAGCCUCAGGCUUAACAAAAUAAAGGAGAGAAUUGCAUAAUCACACUUAAAUACUUGUGUAAUCAAAAUCCAUACUACAUUAAGGUAGUCAUCAUCUGCUAGAUUUUGGAGCAGGGAGAAAACAGAACAGCAAUUACAGGAAAUAGACUAUAACAACAUGAAAACGAUUUAACUUAUAUACACUGUGAUGUUGUAAAUAUAUAUAUGUUACCCUAUCAUCACUGAAAUUUAGGCAGCUAAUACAUGUAAAGGUGUUUCUGCCGAAUUGAUUUGUUGAGGUGAGGUAGACAUGGCUGCUCUUAUAGCUGGCUUUAUUUUGUUGAUUAACUUAGUAUAACAUUUCAAGAACUCAAAUAAUAUAUAUGCUCACCUCAGUUGCUGCACUAGCAGGGCCAAAGUAGACAGUUCUUCCAGAAGACAGAAGACAUAAAGAAUGAAAUAGACUGAAAACUUCAGUGCUAGGUUGAUGAAUUGAGGCAAUAAUAGUUCUCCCCUGACAUUGGCUUGCAAUUGUUUUCAUGACAUAAUAAGACGCUGCGCUAUCAAGUCCACUAGUUGGUUCAUCAAGAAAGAGAAGUUUUGGGCGCGUUAAAAUCUCUCCUUUUCUGUCC
rnacentral:lncRNA from 1 species